CUCUCCGUAGUUCAAUGGAUAGAACGAGUGCCUCCUAAGCGCUAGAUACAGGUUCGAUUCCUGUCGGGGGGA
rnacentral:tRNA from 1 species